rnacentral:rRNA from 1 species
GAUGAACGCUGGCGGCGUGCUUAACACAUGCAAGUCGAACGAUGAAGCCCAGCUUGCUGGGUGGAUUAGUGGCGAACGGGUGAGUAACACGUGAGUAACCUGCCCUUAACUCUUGGAUAAGCCUGGGAAACUGGGUCUAAUACCGGAUAGGAGCGCCUACCGCAUUGUGCGUGUUUGAAAGAUUUAUCGGUUUUGGAUGUACUCGCGGCCUAUCAGCUUGUUGGUGAGGUAAUGGCUCACCAAGGCGACUACUGGUAGCCGGCCUGAGAGGGUGACCGGCCACACUGGGACUGAGACACGGCCCAGACUCCUACGGGAGGCAGCAGUGGGGAAUAUUGCACAAUGGGCGAAAGCCUGAUGCAGCGAAGCCGAGUGAGGGAUGACGGCCUUCGGGUUGUAAACCUCUUUCAGUAGGGAAGAAGCGAAAGUGACAGUACCUGCAGAAGAAGCACCGGCUAACUACGUG